rnacentral:rRNA from 1 species
GAUGAACGCUAGCGGCAGGCCUAACACAUGCAAGUCGAGGGGUAACGAUGUCUUCGGACAGUCGACGACCGGCGCACGGGUGAGUAUCGCGUUUGUAACCUACCUUUAACUGGAGAAUAGCCCGAAGAAAUUCGGAUUAAUACUCCAUAAUACUAUGAUCUGGCAUCUUUUUAUAGUUAAAGCUCCGGCGGUUAAAGAUGGACAUGCGUAACAUUAGUUUGUUGGUGAGGUAACGGCUCACCAAGACUACGAUGUUUAGGGGUUCUGAGAGGAUGAUCCCCCACACUGGUACUGAGACACGGACCAGACUCCUACGGGAGGCAG